GACGGACUGCAAGUUUCGAGCAUCGUUGACAUUUGGCAGGUUCAGAGAGGGGCUUGUAUUUUCCGUAAUGGCAUUUCCAAUCGAUCUGUUCUUUACAGCGAGGGCACACUCCGGUGAUCUCCUAUUAUGGUCUCAGCUUCCCGCCAACUUCCGUUUCAUUGAUUUUGUGGCCGGCCUUGGGCUUCCAUGCGUACCGGUUUUGGUGCUUCGG
rnacentral:misc_RNA from 1 species